AUUGAACGCUGGCGGCAGGCCUAACACAUGCAAGUCGAACGCGUGGCGGACGGGUGAGUAAUGUCUGGGAAACUGCCUGAUGGAGGGGGAUAACUACUGGAAACGGUAGCUAAUACCGCAUACCAUCGGAUGUGCCCAGAUGGGGUUAGCUAGUAGGGGGGGUCACGGCUCACCUAGGCGACGCUCCCUCGCUGGUCUGAGAGAGUGACCAGCCAGAUGGGAACUGGGCCACGGUACAGACGCUUAGGGGAGGCAGCCGUGGGGAAUAUCGUCAACGGGGCGCUAGCUUGGUGCAGCCAUCCCGCGUGUAUGAAGAAGGCCUUCGGGUUGUAAAGUACUUUCAGCGGGGAGGCGUUACCCGCAGAAGAAGCACCGGCUACCUCCGGGCCAGCGGCCGCGGUAAUC
rnacentral:rRNA from 1 species